rnacentral:tRNA from 1 species
AGGAAAGUAGCUCAGCAGGUGAGAGCGCCGGCCUUAUAAGCCGUAUGUCAAGGGUUCGAAUCCCUUCUUUCCUACCA